AAAAAGUAACGGAGGCGCUCUAAGGUCACCUCAGCGUGGACGGCAAUCACGCAUUGAGUGUAAGUGCAAAAGGUGGCUUGACUGUGACACAAACAAGUGGAGCAGGUACGAAAGUAGGAACUAGUGAUCCCAUGGUUGCAUGUGGGUGCGCCAUGGCUCAUCGGCUAAAAGGUACUCCGGGGAUAACAGGCUUAUACCCCCCAAGAGUCCAUAUCGACGGGGGUGUUUGGCACCUCGAUGUCGGCUCUUCUCAUCCUGGGGCUGGAGCAGGUCCCAAGGGUUAGGCUGUUCGCCUAUUAAAGAGGAACGCGAGCUGGGUUCAGAACGUCGUGAGACAGUUCGGUCCCUAUCCGUCGCGCACGUAAGAAAUUUGAAGAAAGUUGUCCCUAGUACGAGAGGACCGGGAUGAACGAUCCGCUGGUGUGCCAGUUGUUCUGCCAAGAGCACCGCUGGUUAGCUACGAUCGGACAGGAUAAGCGCUGAAAGCAUCUAAGUGCGAAGCCCCUUCUAAGAUAAGAUUUCUCAUCGGGUUAACCGAUUAAGACUCCUUAUAGAACAUGAGGUUGAUAGGUCAGAAGUGUAAUUACAGUAAUGUAUGUAGCUGACUGAUACUAAUAAGUCGAGGGCUUGAACUG
rnacentral:rRNA from 1 species